ACGUGUGGUGCAAGCGUUAUUCGGAAUCAUUGGGCGUACAGGGCGUGUAGGUGGUAUGUUAAGUCUGUUGUUAAAGCCUCUAGCCUAACUGGAGAAAGGCAAUGGAAACUGGUGUACUAGAGGGUGGAAGAGAAAAGUGGAAUUCUCGGUGGAGCGGUAAGAUGCGUAGAUAUCGGGAGGAACACCGAUGGCGAAGGCAGCUUCUUAGGCCAGACCUGACGCUGAGGCGCGAAAGCGUGGGGAGCAAACAG
rnacentral:rRNA from 1 species